rnacentral:rRNA from 1 species
GACGAACGCUGGCGGCGUGCUUAACACAUGCAAGUCGAACGAUGAAGCCGGAGCUUGCUCCGGUGGAUUAGUGGCACGGGUGAGUAACACGUGAGCAAUCUGCCCUUGACUCUGGGAUAACUGCGGGAAACUGUAGCUAAUACCGGAUACGACACCUUGGGGCAUCCCAGGGUGUGGCAAGAAUUUCGGUCAAGGAUGAGCUCGCGGCCUAUCAGCUAGUUGGUGAGGUAAUGGCUCACCAAGGCGACGACGGGUAGCCGGCCUGAGAGGGUGACCGGCCACACUGGAACUGAGACACGGUCCAGACUCCUACGGGAGGCAGCAGUGGGGAAUAUUGCACAAUGGGCGAAAGCCUGAUGCAGCAACGCCGCGUGAGGGAUGAAGGCCUUCGGGUUGUAAACCUCUUUUAGCAGGGAAGAAGCGAAAGUGACGGUACCUGCAGAAAAAGCACCGGCUAACUACGUGCCAGCCGCCGCCGUAA